rnacentral:rRNA from 1 species
GAUGAACGCUAGCUACAGGCUUAACACAUGCAAGUCGAGGGGAAACGACAUCGAAAGCUUGCUUUUGAUGGGCGUCGACCGGCGCACGGGGGAGUAACGCGUAUCCAACCUGCCCAUCACUUGGGAAUAACCUUGCGAAAGUAAGACUAAUACCCAAUGAUAUCCCACGAAGGCAUCGGAAUGGGAUUAAAGAUUUAUCGGUGAUGGAUGGGGAUGCGUCUGAUUAGCUUGUUGGCGGGGUAACGGCCCACCAAGGCAACGAUCAGUAGGGGUUCUGAGAGGAAGGUCCCCCACAUUGGAACUGAGACACGGUCCAAACUCCUACGGGAGGCAGCAGUGAGGAAUAUUGGUCAAUGGGCGAGAGCCUGAACCAGCCAAGUAGCGUGCAGGAAGACGGCCCUAUGGGUUGUAAACUGCUUUUAUAAGGGAAUAAAGUGGGUCACGUGUGACUUUUUGCAUGUACCUUAUGAAUAAGGACCGGCUAAUUCCGUG